UACGGAGGGUGCAAGCGUUAUCCGGAUUCACUGGGUUUAAAGGGUGCGUAGGUGGGUAAGUAAGUCAGUGGUGAAAUCUCCGGGCUUAACCCGGAAACUGCCAUUGAUACUAUUUGUCUUGAAUACUGUGGAGGUCAGCGGAAUAUGUCAUGUAGCGGUGAAAUGCUUAGAUAUGACAUAGAACACCAAUUGCGAAGGCAGCUGGCUACACAAAUAUUGACACUGAGGCACGAAAGCGUGGGGAUCAAAACAGG
rnacentral:rRNA from 1 species